GAUCAUGGCUCAGGAUGAACGCUAGCUACAGGCUUAACACAUGCAAGUCGAGGGGAAACGACAUCGAAAGCUUGCUUUUGAUGGGCGUCGACCGGCGCACGGGUGAGUAACGCGUAUCCAACCUGCCCAUCACUUGGGAAUAACCUUGCGAAAGUAAGACUAAUGCCCAAUGAUAUCCCACGAAGGCAUCCGAAUGGGAUUAAAGAUUUAUCGGUGAUGGAUGGGGAUGCGUCCGA
rnacentral:rRNA from 1 species